AGAGAACAAAGUUCCUAUUUCGAUCUUCCAUGCAGUGGUGUCGCAGGGAAGUGGACUCAGUGGACUGUGACUCAAAGCUCCAGAGGUGACUCAGCAAUCACAGAGAGUGAUGCACGACGAAAGCAGCCACUGUGAACCUUCACAAACCUAGAGGAGAAUUCCAAGACUAUCUGCCGAGUGAGUAAGAAAACCAAAUCUUCUGAUUUUCCCCAGAGGGGAAGCAAGCUUCCAUAUUGUGAGCAGACCAAUGGGAGAGGCCCAUGUGGCAAAGAAGUAAUUUUUCUGGCCAACAUCCAGCAAGAACCUAAAGCCUCUAAUAGCAACGCGACUGAGUCACUGAGUGGAUUCUGCUCCAGUGACACCUUGAGAUGAUUGCAGCCCGACCUAUCUUGGAUAGCCCGACCUAUCCAAGCCAAACCAAGCUUGGAUUCCUGACCCACAGAAAUUGUGAAAUAAUGCAUAUUUGUUAUUUUAAACCAUUACACUUUGGGGUAACUUUUAUGCAGCGAUAGAUAAUAACAUACGGCUAUUGCUGCUUUAGAUGAAUGCUCUUUAUUUUAUAAUAAUGUUGAUUCUUACAAACUUGUGGAUCUCGUUUUUUACUUUUGAUAGUGUGUAUGUUGAUUCUGUUUUUAUAGAAAUAUACAUUUUCAGUGGAAAAGGUAACCAGUUUUUAUCCUUUUUCAAUCCUUAUACCUCAUUCUUUUUCUUUUCAUAUUGCCUCAGACCUCAAGAACUAUUUAAAACAAUACCCGUGAUUUUGGACAUGUUUGUCUUCAUUCCAAUCUUGAAGAGUCUGCAUCUAAAGCUUCUCAUAAUAAGUAUGAGUAUAUUUUCCAAAGAUGAGUAAUUGGACUCAGAGAAGAAAAGUAACCUUGGUGACAAGUGUAACCAGGAUUCGCUCACACCUUCACCUGUCAUCUCCAAAAGGUAUCCGCUCUUUCUGCAGUUAAGUAUCCCUUAUCUAAAAUGCUUGGGACCAGAAGUGUUUUGGAUUUUGAACUUUUUUAAGAUUUUGGAAUAUUUGCACACACAUAAUGAGGUAUCUUGGAGCUGGGACCCAGUUCUUAACACAAAAUGCAUCUAUGUUUUGCAUGCACCUUGUAUACCUAGUCUGGAGAUAAUAUUAUAUGAUAUUUUCAAUAAUUCUGUGCAUGAAACAAAAUUUUGUUUGUGUUUUUACUGUGAUCCAAGUGAGCUCACGUGUGGAGUUUUCCACCUGUGGUAUCAGGUUGGAUCUCAAAACUUUUGGAUUUGGGAGCAUUUUGGAUUUAAGAUUUUGGGAUUAGGAAUGCUCAACCUGUAUUACCCUUUGUGUAUAUGGCCUUUUCUACUCCCACCUCACAAGAUCUGAUGGGUUCAGGAAAUUCUGUAAGAUAUUAAAGAUGGCUUAUUGUACUUUAAUAGGUAGAUGGCCAAAACUUGCUUUAUGCUUCAAUUUGAUAAGGUUAGUUUCUAAGAGAAAAAGAACUUUGCUGUCCUUUUUUACUGUGAAAGAAUGAGUUGAGGGAUAAACUAUCACACAUAACUCUGUUUUCUCCAAGUUGCAGGAGGUUGAAGGGGAGAAUCCAGAGGCUGUGGAUGACAGUUGCAACGCAGUCAAAGUGAUCAUUCAACUUUGACACCAUACAAAACGAACAUUGUGAUCUCAGGAGUAUGCCCUUUCUUUCCUUGUCCCAUUUAUAUCAGUCAAGGUCUGGUCAGAAAAACAGAAGCCACUCUAAGUAUACAGAGUAAGAAAUGGUUUAAUAUAGGAAUUAAAGGCUGGGCAAGUAAAGCUCAGGAAGGCCACUUUUAGGAAACUUUAAAGUGCAGUUCUUGUUCUCUAACCAAUCCUUUCAGUUGCUAGGAGCACUGACUUGGUAAUUCUUAGGAGGAUACCCAAAAGCAGUGAGAAAAUUCCACACUGCUUCUACUCUCCUAGUAGCUGCUAUGCAGAACAAUGUCUUCCCCUUCUCUUCUACCUUCUAAAUCUCAUGCAACUUCUUCUUAUUGGUGGAAUCUAUUUGGGAUCCUAUUUGCAAUGGAGGAUAAAAAUUGUAAUUGUAAUUUCUAGACUUUAUGCUCCUGGGGACACGGAAAAGUAUAGAAUAACAGACAUGAUACUGAGUACUAACAAAUUAUACGUGGUACACUGUGUCUAUUUGCUCACCAUUAUUAGUAAAAACUCACAAAUAUAUGUUGAUCGAAUUAAUGGAUACAGAAGCGUCCCGGUUCUGGAACAGGAUUUCUUGCUGGGAAUCAAGAUUCCUCUGCACCGUCAUUCAGUGAUGCCAUGUGCUCCAGGCCCUGAAGGCACUUUGAAGCCCUUAAUGGCCUGCUGCUGACGUGACUGUAGAAGAAGCAGAGGUGUGUUCCCCACCUUUCACUGAGGUGGGCCAUGUCAUUGCAUCAGGUGCUACUGGUGUACAUGUAAACCCAACCACAUCACUCUGCUGUUUCAAGUAACACUUCGGUCGCUUUCUAUUGACUUUAGAAUAAAAUCUGAAUUUUCCAUGACUUCCAAGAAUUUGCGUUUUCUGGACUCUUUCUAACUCUCCAACUUACCUCACUUUAUUUCUCUCUCACCACAUUAUGUCUGCACAACCUUUCAGUUCAUCAAACAUGGCAAAUGAUUUCCACCACAGGGCCUUGGCUUGAGAAGCUCCCACUGCCUGGAAUCCACUUUGCCACACUUCUGCCCCAUUCUUUUAGGACCAGCUCCUAGAAUCCUUCCAUCCUAAACAUCACAUCCUCAAAGAGGCCUUCGCUGGUCACUCCAUCUAAGUGAGAUAUUCCCUGUUAGUAU